rnacentral:rRNA from 1 species
GACGAACGCUGGCGGCGUGCCUAACACAUGCAAGUCGAACGAGCGGCGGACGGGUGAGUAAUGUAUGGGGAACUGCCCGAUGGAGGGGGAUAACUACUGGAAACGGUGGCUAAUACCGCAUACCAUCGGAUGUGCCCAGAUGGGAUUAGCUUGUUGGUGGGGUAAAGGCUCACCAAGGCGAAGAUCCCUAGCUGGUCUGAGAGGGUGACCAGCCACACUGGGACGGAGCCACGGCCCAGACUCCUACGGGAGGCAGCAGUGGGGAAUCUUCGACAAUGGACGAAAGUCUGACCGAGCAAUGCCGCGUGAGUGAAGAAGGUUUUCGGAUCGUAAAACACUGUUGUUGGAGAAGCGGUAUCUAACGAGAAAGCCACGGCUAACUACGUGCCAGCAGCCGCGGUAAUAC